GUGAUUUUCAACUAUAGUCUUAGUUGGGUGCUGUUCUGAUUGAGGGAAAUGCAAGGUGAUAACGGGACUACAUGAUUGGAAUCUGAACUAUUAAAGCAAAUCUGGUUAGGGAAUAUGAUGAAAUUGGAUUUUGGUCAAUUUUUGGUGGCAGGCUACUCUUACCAGUCAAUUGGUUUGGGUAGAAUUCAACAUUAAAUUUGGCCCUUAUCAAUAAAAGUUGAAGUGCACUCAAAAUCUGUGCACGUUAGGUGCAUGUCCGACGCUUAGCUUAAAUCAGUGUGAAGAGAAUAUAAACCUGCGUGAUUAAAAUAUUAAAUGAUAUUGAAUCAUUUUCAGAGGCAUAAACACAGUUUGAGUUUCAAUCAAAGCUAAAUAAAUUAAAAAAUUUAUAUAUGUUAAAUGGUAUAAGGGAGCUGCAGGCUAAACAGUAUGUGAUAUAGAUGAGUCGACAUUGGUAGAAUGCAAUACUUGUGGUGAGAUAAAGGUGUAUACUUAAAUUAUUGUGUGAUGACUUUGACCAUUGCUCUCCUUAUGUUGAGUAAUGAAGGUGGCAAUUCUUGUUGGUGAAGGUCUAUAGAUUUUUUUUUUUUAAUAUUACUAUUACUUUAUCUUCUUUUUUAAUGGAAAUAUUUUGAUGAGAAAUAUUUUUUGGUAUGAGAAAAAGGCACUAUAACCUGAUCGCUAACAUAUAAUUAAUUAAGUGAAUGAUAGCUAAAAAUAUCUAAUGUUACUGUUAAUGGGUGCAGUUCUUAACUAAGCAAGAAGCAUAGCACGUGUUGUAGAGCUGGACUUUUUGUUAUCUUUUACAAGCCUAGAAUGUCAAUUUGAUCAAUCUUCUUUUGUUUUGAUUUAAGUUUGAGUUGAUUCCAGUUUUUGCAACCCAAAAUAAUUGGAUUAUUUGUAAUACAAAUAAUUUU
rnacentral:misc_RNA from 1 species